rnacentral:rRNA from 1 species
CAAAUGCCUCGUCAUCUAAUUAGUGACGCGCAUGAAUGGAUUAAUGAGAUUCCUACUGUCCCUACCUACUAUCUAGCGAAACCGCAGCCAGGGGAACGGACCUGGAAGAAAUGGCGGGGAAAGAAGACCCUGUUGAUCUUGACUCUAGUCUGACGUUGUGAAGAAACAUGAGAGGUGUAGCAUAAGUGGGAGUCGUGGCAACACGACGACAAUGAAAUACCACUACUCUCAUUGUUUCUUUACUUACGGGGUAAUACGGAAAACGGACUUCGGUCCUUUUUUCUAGUGUUACACGAUAAGAGAGGUAUGCUAUUUUAUAUAACAUAUCGCUCCACGUUGUUCGCACCCCGGACAGCGUCAGGUAGGGAGUUCGACUGGGGCGGUACAUCUGUCAAAUGGUAACGCAGGUGUCCUAAGGCGAGCUCAGUGAGGACAGAAACCUCACGUAGAGCAAAAGGGCAAAUGCUCGCUUGAUUCGAAUUCUCAGUACGAAUGCGAACCUUGAAAGAGGGGCCUCUCGAUCCUUUUAUUUUUACGAGUUUUAAGUAAGAGGUGUCAGAAAAGUUACNACAGGGAUAACUGGCUCGUGGCGGCCAAGCGUCCAUAGCGACGUCGCUUGUUGAUCCUUCGAUGUCGGCUCUUCCUAU